AAGGGAAAGCCCAGGCUCCACCCGGCUUUAUAUCUUCUUCGGGGUGUAUUGGUACAGUUAUUAGGGUUAGUUGGCGGUCCACCAGUCGUGGGAGCUCAGCCAGCAGCACAGGGUAGUGUUGAUUUAGGGGCACAGCCUGCGGCAGCGACGUGUAGGGUAGAGAUUCCACCAGCACCAGUAGUCCUACAGCUGGCAGUAGCCCAGCCAGUUAUGUCUGUAGAGGAGCAGAAGAUGUUGGAUCGAUUGACUCCACCCAGGUUUGCCGGGACCCCGUGAAAGGAUGCUCACGAGUUCCUAUCCAGUUGCGAUGUGGCGGAAUACCUGG
rnacentral:lncRNA from 1 species